GACGAACGCUGGCGGCGUGCCUAAUACAUGCAAGUAGAACGCACAGUUUAUACCGUAGCUUGCUACACCAUAGACUGUGAGUUGCGAACGGGUGAGUAACGCGUAGGUAACCUGCCUGGUAGCGGGGGAUAACUAUUGGAAACGAUAGCUAAUACCGCAUAAUAUUAAUUAUUGCAUGAUAAUUAAUUGAAAGGUGCAAUUGCACCACUACCAGAUGGACCUGCGUUGUAUUAGCUAGUAGGUGAGGUAACGGCUCACCUAGGCGACGAUACAUAGCCGACCUGAGAGGGUGAUCGGCCACACUGGGACUGAGACACGGCCCAGACUCCUACGGGAGGCAGCAGUAGGGAAUCUUCGGCAAUGGACGAAAGUCUGACCGAGCAACGCCGCGUGAGGGAAGAAGGUUUUCGGAUCGUAAAGCUCUGUUGUAAGAGAAGAACGGGGGUGAGAGUGGAAAGUUCACACUGUGACGGUAUCUUAACAGAAAGGGACGGCUAACUACGUG
rnacentral:rRNA from 1 species